UACAGAGGGUGCUAGCGUUGUUCGGAAUUAUUGGGCGUAAAGGGCGCGUAGGCGGUUUCGCAUGUCCGAUGUGAAAGCCCACCUCUUAAAGGUGGAAUUGCAUCGGAAACUGCGAGACUAGAGUGCCGGAGAAGGUGGUGGAAUUCCUGGUGUAGAGGUGAAAUUCGUAGAUAUCAGGAGGAACACCGGUGGCGAAGGCGGCCACCUGGACGGUUACUGACGCUGAGGCGCGAAAGCGUGGGGAGCAAACAGG
rnacentral:rRNA from 1 species